rnacentral:rRNA from 1 species
AAUCAACGCUGGCGGCGUGCCUAACACAUGCAAGUCGCGCGCGAAAGGGGGGCAACUCCCGAGUAAAGCGGCGAACGGGUGAGUAACACGUGGGUAAUCUACCUUCGAGUGGGGAACAACACCGGGAAACUGGUGCUAAUUCCGCAUGACAUCGUCGGGGCUUCGGUUCUGACGCUCAAAGCUGGGGAUCGCAAGACCUAGCGCUUGAAGAUGAGCCCGCGUCCGAUUAGCAGUUGGCGGGGUAAUGGCCCACCAAGGCUUCGAUCGGUAGCCGGCCUGAGAGGGCGGACGGCCACACUGGAACUGAGACACGGUCCAGACUCCUACGGGAGGCAGCAGUGGGGAAUUUUUCGCAAUGGGGGCAACCCUGACGAAGCAACGCCGCGUGGGGAUGAAGGUCUUCGGA